GCCCCUGUAGCUCAAGGGUAGAGCAACGCUUUUGUAAAGCGUAGGUUGUCCGUUCAAAUCGGAUCGGGGGCU
rnacentral:tRNA from 1 species